GGCGCUCUGUAGCAGUGGUGGUCCAAGGCACCGGACUUCAAAUCCGGUAUACUCGAUAAGAGUAUGGAGUUCGAUUCUCCCAGAGCGCCG
rnacentral:tRNA from 1 species